rnacentral:lncRNA from 13 species
CUGACUAUCCCUGCGGUUCCAGAGCAGGUUUCAAUGACUAUUGAUGGUACACAGCAGCUACUCAUAUACAUAUCAUUUGAUCCUGUACCAGAUUAAUAACCCUCUAUCUUCAUCCCCAUAUCCAUCCAUUAGAGUCCAGUGAAGUGACUGUAGAGUUUGACCAAAGACAGUCCGGAGGAAUACAAAAGAUGGGUUCCAACUAGACAGAAGAGGAAAAGAGUGGGCAUAUCAUUUCGAUCCAGACAUACUGUAGCACAAGUUUCAGGACAGCCUAUCACUCAGUCCUCUGAAGGCAAGGAAUCUGAAAUAGAGAGAGAGAGAGAUUAAAAGAGAGAAACAGGCCAUGGCUAUUUCUUUAAUGAUCCAUUUAGUGGAAAAUCGUUUUUGUUGUAACUCUGUGAAGUCCUGGGUAGAUGAACAUAACAAAGCAUGUUUGAGCUGUAGUAGUGAGACAAACCAGUGUUUGAGAUGUAGUAGUGAGACAAGCCACUGUUUGAGAUGUAGUAGUGAGACAAGCCAGUGUUUGAGAUGUAGUAGUGAGACAAGCCAGUGUUUGAGAUGUAGUAGUGAGACAAGCCAGUGUGUGAGAUGUAGUAGUGAGACAAGCCAGUGCUUUUAUAUUCCGUAAUUCCAUCUGGUAGAAAUCAUAUCUAUUGAUUUCUUGAUGCACAAAGGUCUUGAAAAACAGUGCAUUGAAAAAGCAUCCUUUAAAAAAAUUCCUUCAUCAAUGGCACUCUGCAAAACAAAAAAAUAUUUUGAUUUGUUAAAAAUAGGUAUUGAUAAUGCAUUAAAGGGAAACAUUGUUUAUCCAAUUUGAGCACCAAUUUUCCUAAGCUAAAAAAUAACUACACGACAAUGUGGUCUUUUGAAUUUGAUUGACACUGUACUGCAUGGUGUGCGCCUGUUCUCCUAUUUCUUACAGUGCUGAACGCAAAGAGAGUAUCUCCAGUCCUUUGCCCUGACAGUAUAAAUAGAAAAGAUACAUUACCCUAGUAAUAAUAGAAUUGCUCUGAUAGUUCCAGGUGGUUACUCCAAAUUCCGGACCAUGGAGAUUCACAGCAGCAAGCCUACUGUAAAACUCUUGAGGAACGUUCCCAGAAUCAUUGAAAUCAUUGAGGAAUUUUUCCCUGUGAUUUGUUUUCUAUUGAACACUUUUACAUAGACCAAACAGAAACUGUGACUCAACAUUUCCUUUCAUUUGAUUAAUAUUUGCUGACAACAUUCCAGAGACAGUGACUUUUUGCACUCUCCAAAUGUUUGCGCAGCAUUCAUUCAUGUCAAAGGUGGUUUAUAACCUCACAACAAGCUCAAGGGAAACCAUAGCAUUCAGCCAACAUGUCCUGCUCUCCGUCUGCCUGUUUGAAGUCCAUGAACCCUCACAGAUCUACCACCACAUUAUUAGCUAGACACCACAGCUUCAUUUAGCCACAGUUAAGCUACAUGUCCGACUGAAACCAAAACAUCAAACAGUAUAUAUAUAUAUAGCCUAUGAUCACCCGCGGACAGAGGGUCUGCUUUGUCUCUGUAACCCAGGGCGUCACAGAAACCUAAAUGUUAGAUUUAUCCUUCUCGUGACAUACAGUACGUCCAUAGGUACAAUUAGGCUGCCAGUGGUCCGCAAGCAGAAAAACAUAAGCAGUUUUAACAAGGCGACUCACUUUUCAGAAUGCAAGAGGUCAUUCAGGUGGAGAAAGUACGUUCUUAUUUUUCUUUAUGGAUCGUCCCAUGCAUGGUAGAGGGUCUGUUUUAUUAGUGUCACUGUUAAUAUAGUCUAAUGGUCAUCAUUAAGGUGGUGGUGGUGAUGAUGAUGAAGAACCGGAGGUAGUAUCAUUUAUUUCAAGUUCAGGUGUUAUUGUUACACGCACAGGACAAUGACAUCGUUAACUUGCGAGCUUAAUUCCCCAUCCAACUCAAUUGAUGAUUUCUGUAGUCUAAAAAGUAAUAGGAAUGUACUUUUUGAACGACCUAAAAAGACGUAGAAAAAUAUCAAAACAUACAAAUCUUCAAUAAUAUCCACCUUUUAUAAAUAAUAUCGACCUUUUAUAAAUCAACUGUCCAUAGCACUACUUACCCUGUCUUUUUCUCCCGACUUGUUUUCAGAAUGAGAGUAUGGUCCAGUCAGGGCUAUACGGUUGCUCCAUCGACGUAAAGUUAAAUGCAAACCAACAAACGAAUCAGUAUCGAGUGGAGAGUGACCGAACAUAGAAUGAACGCAGUAGGUAUAACUCACCUCGCCAGCGCACCGCCUCCACUUGUUGCUGUCAUAAUAAAAGGUACUUUAAAGUUGCAUCUCCUCUACGCUACACUGUAUGUGUGUACCGGUUGCCUCAAGACUUCCGAACCUCAUUCAGUUUGCGCGCGCACCUAUUGGACAGUUUGGAUCCAUUCGGGACCUCAUCCACUUGCUUUCUUUGCGUUAUAUUGAGGUGUCUCUCCCAGUUCAUCGUAAAUCAUCCCUGCAAUAUUGUUGAAUGCUUUUGCAAAUGUGUGACACAACUGUGGGAAACACUGGAGUCAAUAUGGGCCAGCAUCCUAGUUGAACGCUUUCGACACCUUGUAGAGUCCAUUCCCUUACGAAUUGAGUCUGUUCUGAGGGCAAAAGGGGGUUCAACUCAAU